CUAAUAGGCUGCAGGAGGGCAGAAAUAGGUGACAAGAGGAAAGAAAUGAGGUUGAUCAGAGAAUGAAGUCACUGAGUUCCCAGAAUGUUGUAUUGUGCUUUUUGUUUUAUUAGUAGUUUUAUGGUUUGAUUUGUGAUUUGGUGGCUUUCCUUGGUGCUGUUUUCCUUUUGUCUCCACCUUUUCCCAGCUAUUUCAUCAGCUAGUUUCUAGUUUCUAUUUCUCCAAACUUUAGCCAUUUAUUGAAACCGCUUUUCCUCCCUUGGAAUGUUAUUGUUUCACUGCUGUUAUCUCCGCCUAGCAUUUUUACUCCCAACUCUCCUGAUUUGUUGAAAGUUGCACCUUCCCCUGAGACCUGCCCACACUUAAAAGUCUUUGUUCGCCCCUUGAUCGGGGUCCCAGGAGAGGAAAAGGGGAAGUUUACCAUCAAAUAAAGUUUCCCUGGGACCCGUGUGCGCUGCCUGUGUUUUAUAUUGCACCGAAACAAUUGACAACUGGGAUUCAACGGAGCUCCAGUUGGAACCUGCCGCCACCCCUCUCUUGUCAUCAGCUAGCCGGGAAGCGGCAGUUUCGCGUUCCCAACAUGGGGCAAGAUAAGAUCAUUUACGAGCUCCUUUUAUGACUCUAAGAGGAGCCCAUCGGUGAAUUUUAUGGUUCUAUGGACUUUCUCCGCCCUUCCUUCUCACUCAGAAGCGGAGAAAGAAAGCUUGCAGAAGACUUGACUGAGUCAGGGCUUUACGCAGACAGCAGAAAAAAAGCUGCUGGGCUCCUGCAGCAAGGCAAGGUGUGUGCACUGGGACAAGCACACCAGGGACCCACAGUGGCUGCGCCCUCAGUCUUGGGAACAGGCUUUGGAGCACCAGGAACACCCAAGUCCCUGGAGGCAGCAAUCCAAGGAAGAGAAAGUCCCCAGUCUGUCAGCGAUCAGAACAUCAGUUUCAGCGCACCCUGAUGAGAAGUGGAAGUGCUGUGGUGGUCAACCAGCGUCACUCAUCCGGCAGAAGUGGGCUGGCUGGACGGAUGUCUCGUCUCCCAGAAAAAAUCGGCCAGAGGCCCGGCGCCAGUGGGUGAGCUGUGCCACAGCGGGGGUUUUUCUCUUUUUUCUUUUUUCUAUCCCUGGCGGGUGGAAUUUUCUCAAGGGCCCAUGGCCAGGCCCGUGAGGAUCUUUAUCUCUGGCACGUUUCCCUCUCCCACCUCAUCAGAAGGUCCUCCUCUUGUCCUUCUAAGAAGGACAGGAGCAAGACAAAAGAUUUUCACAGUUGUUCAGUUGUAUCUUAUAGAAAGAAGAAUGUUAUAACUACACCGAAGUCUACUAUGCUACAUUUGAUCAUGACCAUUUUCUGAACUGAAUUUCCUUGAAGAGAGAAAACCUUCAAACUUGAGUUUCCCAACAGAAGAACAAGACAACUGAAGUUUUGAAACAGAGAAGAAGAUCAGCCAAAUUGAUGUGAAGAACAUCUCAUUGCUUUGCUUUGUAUUAUGAAAUAAAUUGUAGCUGUAUUAAUAAAAGAAAUGUUAAAUUGUUCAAAAAAUA